CACGUAGGGUGCGAGCGUUGUCCGGAAUUAUUGGGCGUAAAGCGCGUGUAGGCGGCUUGUUAAGUCGGGUGUGAAAGCCCUCAGCUCAACUGAGGAAGUGCGCCCGAAACUGGCGAGCUUGAGUGUCGGAGAGGGUGGCGGAAUACCCCAAGUAGAGGUGAAAUUCGUAGAUAUGGGGUGGAACACCGGUGGCGAAGGCGGCCAUCUGGACGACAACUGACGCUGAGACGCGAAAGCGUGGGGAGCAAACAGG
rnacentral:rRNA from 1 species